rnacentral:lncRNA from 1 species
GUUUUAUUGGGGGAGAGGAAUACAAAAGCGAGUCAGUACUGCACUCUGAGAUCGAGGCCUUUAUUUGGGUAAUGGAAUGUAUACGAAAUUUAAGGCAAUAUAAUGUUACUUUUGCAAUGGAUUAUUCUCAGUUGGUGAAGAUGAUUCUGGAACCAAAAGAAUGACCAGCAUCUACAAGUUAUCUAGAAGACAUAAUCUAGAACUUCUAGUAUAUAGUAAAAAUUUACUAUAUACUAGAAGUUUCGAAAUUUUCGAAUAAUCUAUAGGAACUCGAUUUGGAACGGGUCGGGUCCAAGAUCUGCGGUCCUCCACACAAGACCCAACAAGAUAAAAAGAUCGGGUCAGUUUUUACACGAACCGGUUCUUAGCCGAAUUAUAAUUCUUUUGCCAAACAUAGGGCUGGGCAAAAAACCCGGAUCCGAAGAACCCGAUCC